rnacentral:ncRNA from 1 species
CACGUGUUCCGGGGUCGGUGGAAGUCCGAGCCGGCGGUGAAAGUCCGCGACCCGAUCGCAGCCAGCGACCGGUUGAUGUGGUGAAACUCCACGACCGACGGUGAGAGUCCGGAUGGGAGGAACACGGG